AUUUCACUUGAAGCUGAGAGUGGGGUGGGAGUUGAAACAGGUGCUAACAGCAAGUGAAUUUUGUCGCCUUUGGGGGCUGUGACUGCGCCUCUCAAAGUGAAUUAGAAGGUUCUACGCUC